GACGAACGCUGGCGGCGUGGAUUAGGCAUGCAAGUCGAACGGUAUCAUCCUUUCGGGGGUGAGAGAGUGGCGAACUGGUGAGUAACACGUAGGUUAUCUACCCUCAAGACGGGGACAACCCAGGGAAACUUGGGCUAAUACCGGAUGUGAGCAACUUUUAGUUGUUUGAAAGGUGGCGUAAGCUGUCGCUUGGGGAUGAGCCUGCGUCCUAUUAGUUAGUUGGUGAGGUAACGGCUCACCUAGGCAAUGAUAGGUAGGCGGCCUUAACGGGUGGUCGCCCACACUGGGAUUGAGAUACGGCCCAGACUCCUACGGGAGGCAGCAGUCGAGAAUAGUCUACAAUGGUCGGAAGACUGAUAGUGCGACGCCGCGUGAACGAUGAAUCCCUUCGGGGUGUAAAGUUCUUUUAUAUGUGAGCAGUGCUUCUUAUAUUAACAGUAUGGGGAGAGAGAUAUUAGCAUAUGAAUAAGCAACGGCUAACUCCGUGCCAGCAGCCGGGUAAACUCG
rnacentral:rRNA from 1 species